rnacentral:rRNA from 1 species
GAUGAACGCUGGCGGCGUGCCUAAUACAUGCAAGUCGAGCGAACAGAUGAGGAGCUUGCUCCUCUGACGUUAGCGGCGGACGGGUGAGUAACACGUGGAUAACCUACCUAUAAGACUGGGAUAACUUCGGGAAACCGGAGCUAAUACCGGAUAAUAUAUUGAACCGCAUGGUUCAAUAGUGAAAGACGGUUUUGCUGUCACUUAUAGAUGGAUCCGCGCCGCAUUAGCUAGUUGGUAAGGUAACGGCUUACCAAGGCAACGAUGCGUAGCCGACCUGAGAGGGUGAUCGGCCACACUGGAACUGAGACACGGUCCAGACUCCUACGGGAGGCAGCAGUAGGGAAUCUUCCGCAAAGGGCGAAAGCCUGACGGAGCAACGCCGCGUGAGUGAUGAAGGUCUUCGGAUCGUAAAACUCUGUUAUUAGGGAAGAACAAAUGUGUAAGUAACUAUGCACAUCUUGACGGUACCUAAUCAGAAAGCCACGGCUAACUACGUG